CUUAGAAAUCAUUUGUUUUGUCAGCAGAGAGACUCGCAUUCACGUCUUUGCCGCAGUGAGGCAUAUAUAUACAUACGCAAACUUCAGGUAUAACAUUACUCUUGUUUCCUAUAAACACAAUUCGAUUUUGCUAGACGAAGAAUAAGAGAAACAUCCAACAUGGAUGUGAAUAUUUGACAAAGUGUGUGUUUAAAAUGUGAACUGAUAAAAAGGAAUUACAUUAAUGUGAACAUUAUUAGAAGAAAAAAAUGAAUUCAAUAAUCCAUGAACAAGUGCAUUUCUGCGUGCAUUGAAUCUUAUGCAGAUUAUUUAAAAUAUUUACCUUCGUAGAAUCAGACAUUCAUUGUUUUCUGACGAAAAAUUAACAAUAUUACUUGCAACUUACAUACAGAAACAUCUUGCAUAAAUUAUGGGGCAGAGUUGUUUCAUUUCUAUGUUCCAUGUGUUAAUACCUUAUUCAACGUUUUAUAUUGAAUUUUUCACUUGAUAAUUUUGUUGCGCUCAAUCAAAUUUGUGCAAAGGGUUAACCGUUUAACUUCAAGACAUUUCAGCUCAGAGUUAUAGGAUUAUGCGCCACUGUAUUUGUGUGUGUGUUACUGUUACACCAGUUUAGUAAAACGGCAAAUGAAUCAUCGUAAACAAACUUUAUUGGCUAGGGCUGAAAAUUGGUGUACCAUGUUUUCUAUGGAUAAGCUACCGAAGGAAAUUUUUUCGAUAAAAAUCGAUUUAAGAGCACUUUUGACCCCCUUAUCCUGCUACACUCUUUCAAAACUUAGGGCUACAGCAUUGAAUGAAGGGGAGCCUUUUGCUGCCUGAAGUGACUCAAGCACAAUCUGACAAAUCGAUAAAAUUAGACCAAUUUACGUCGUGUUUGGGCUAAUUUUAAUCAAAAGAACCACAGUAAACCACUGGCACGACGUUUGCAAAGUGUAUUCAUUUUCUGUCCCUGCCUACUGGGAUCAUGUUACACUGAGUUCGAGACAGUGAGUAGUGGAGAAGAGUAAGGAUUGUUUGUUAAAAUUUUACCAUGGAAAUUUCUUUAACCCUUUGCACUCGAGAGGCGACUGCUACUCGCCAUUCGAUUCAACACAAUAAAAUUGUAAAAUUUAAAAUUCAAUAUUAAAUUUUGUGUAAAGUAUCGACACGUGAAACAUAAAAAUAAAAUAGUUCUGUCUCUUAAUCUAUGCAAGAUUUUUCUUUACGCUAAUUACAAAUAAUGUUAUCGAUAUUUCAUUAGGAAAUAACGACUAUAAAAGUUGCGACAAGCAGUAUUGUAGUAACAAUUUUAUUGUUUUAUGGAUUCGUUUGGUAUGAAUAGUAUAUCUACUAACCAGAAAGCUUUACGGAUAAUUAUUAAACGAUAUUUGCCGAGAAAAUGAGGUUAAAAUAUAAUAAAUAAUUUUUAUUAUAUUUUAGAAAAAUUGCUUUUAGAAAAAAUAAUUACUAGUUUUCAUUACGGUUGUAAUAAUAUAAAAGAAUUCUUUCCUUCCGUUGAUUAUAUGCGACAUUCAAACUUUUAUCUUUAAUCACUUUCUUCCGCUGAACACGGAUUUAUUAUUAUCUUUCACAAGAUCUUCGGAAUUAUUAUCUUAUUAAUAAAUCGUUGUGCGAAGAUAUUAAGACUAAAAAAUGAUGAGUAAUAUAGACCAUAAGCAUGGGCAAAUAACUAUUACUUUGUAAUUUCAUUUGUUUUUGUCUAUUAUACAACAAAAAUAAAUUAUACCUGAAAAUAUUUAAAAAUCGUUACAAGAUAAAAGAUAUGAAGUAUUUAACAUUAUCGGUAUGAUGGAUUAAGGUAGAUUAACGUUAUAAUCUUCAGAAUAUUAACGCGUGUAAUGCUAAUACUGUAAGCAAUUUGAAAUAUAUAUUACAAUAUUAAUA